GAUGAACGCUGGCGGCGUGCCUAACACAUGCAAGUCGAACGGAAAGGCCCAAGCUUGCUUGGGUACUCGAGUGGCGAACGGGUGAGUAACACGUGGGUGAUCUGCCCUGCACUUCGGGAUAAGCCUGGGAAACUGGGUCUAAUACCGGAUAGGACCACAUUUUGGAUGGUGUGGUGGAAAGUUUUUCGGUGUGGGAUGAGCUCGCGGCCUAUCAGCUUGUUGGUGGGGUAAUGGCCUACCAAGGCGUCGACGGGUAGCCGGCCUGAGAGGGUGUACGGCCACAUUGGGACUGAGAUACGGCCCAGACUCCUACGGGAGGCAGCAGUGGGGAAUAUUGCACAAUGGGCGCAAGCCUGAUGCAGCGACGCCGCGUGGGGGAUGACGGCCUUCGGGUUGUAAACUCCUUUCGCUAGGGACGAGGCGUUAUGUGACGGUACCUGGAGAAGAAGCACCGGCUAACUACGUG
rnacentral:rRNA from 1 species